rnacentral:ncRNA from 1 species
ACCUGCGCGCUUGUUUCAGGUGCUCAACGUCUGCGGACUGAUUGAGUGAAACAGGGAAGCCGGUGCGUUUGCUUUUUUUCGAGCUAUUCCGGCGCUGCCCCCGCAACGGUAAAUGAGUGAAAACUGCGCAAUCUGCCACUGUGCUCAAGCAUGGGAAGGCGCGCAGCCGGGUUCGCCCGCUCAUGAGCCCGGAGACCGGCCUGAUCCAUUCAACAGCA